CUUAUGACGAAAUUAAGAUGUUUUUUUGAUUACUUUUCGAGUAAAAGAGCAUAAAUGUACCCUGUGAUUCGUCCCAGGUUCACUCUGAACCAUGCAAGAGAAAAACAUCGCCACGGAGAAUGUUCACACCUUAGUAAAAGUAAUCUUGGUUUAUUUCAGAAUGUGCCUGCAUGCGUGUGUGUGUGUGGCGAUGGUUUUGUUUAUGUUUGCUAACACAUCUACUGAACCGCAAAGAACUGUACCGAGCUUCUUAACAGCUGUAUGCGAGCGUAAAUCAUUCCAUCAUGCGGCGACGAGAAAUUCCGGCCUUCACCUUGAAGCUGAGCGACCUGAAGGAGUACGAACAGGCUAAGCAGGAGAAAAUCGACAGGAAAGCGUGUCAGAACGAUAGCAGCAAGCAGCCGAAGUCGGCUACCUCCCAACCGGCACGCAAAUUGCCCACAAAUGUGAAUUCAUUUAAUUAGUAAAUAAGUUCGCUGUGUACUGGGUGCAUGUCGGUUGCAGUGCGAUGGAAGAUAGACCUGCUAGAUAUCACAGAACAAGAUGGUGAAGGUAUUUGAUGCCAUUGAUGUUCUGUGAAUGCAAACAAAAAAAAAACAAUCUAGAAUUAAAAAUAAAUUGAGAAGAUAAGGCGAAAA